AAAUUGAAGAGUUUGAUCAUGGCUCAGAUUGAACGCUGGCGGCAGGCCUAACACAUGCAAGUCGAACGGUAACAGGAAACAGCUUGCUGUUUCGCUGACGAGUGGCGGACGGGUGAGUAAUGUCUGGGAAACUGCCUGAUGGAGGGGGAUAACUACUGGAAA
rnacentral:rRNA from 2 species